rnacentral:rRNA from 1 species
CAAUAGCGUAUAUUAAAGUUGUUGCGGUUAAAAAGCUCGUAGUUGGAUUUCUGCUGAGAACGACCGGUCCGCCCUUUGGGUGUGUAUCUGGCUCUUUCUUGGCAUCUUCUUGGUGAACGUUGCUGCACUUGACUGUGUGGAGCGCUACCCAGGACUUUUACUUUGAGGAAAUUAGAGUGUUUCAAGCAGGCAUACGCCUUGAAUACAUUAGCAUGGAAUAAUAAGAUAGGACCUCGGUUCUAUUUUGUUGGUUUCUAGAGCUGAGGUAAUGAUUAAUAGGGACAGUUGGGGGUAUUCGUAUUUCAUUGUCAGAGGUUAAAUUCUUGGAUUUCUGAAAGACGAACUACUGCGAAAGCAUUUACCAAGGAUGUUUUCAUUAA